GAGGGCAUAGCUCAGUGGUAGAGUGCAUGCUUAGCAUGCACAAGGUCCUGGGUUCAAUGCCCAAUACUUCCA
rnacentral:tRNA from 1 species